UACGUAGGGUCCGAGCGUUGUCCGGAAUUAUUGGGCGUAAAGAGCUCGUAGGCGGUCUGUCGCGUCGGCUGUGAAAACACGGGGCUCAACUCCGUGCCUGCAGUCGAUACGGGCAGACUAGAGUUCGGUAGGGGAGACUGGAAUUCCUGGUGUAGCGGUGAAAUGCGCAGAUAUCAGGAGGAACACCGAUUGCGAAGGCAGCUCGCUGGGACGUUACUGACGCUGAGACGCGAAAGCGUGGAGAGCAAACAGG
rnacentral:rRNA from 1 species